rnacentral:rRNA from 1 species
GUACUGAGACACGGACCAGACUCCUACGGGAGGCAGCAGUGAGGAAUAUUGGACAAUGGGAGCAAUCCUGAUCCAGCCAUGCCGCGUGCAGGAAGACUGCCCUAUGGGUUGUAAACUGCUUUUAUACAGGAAGAAAAAGGUGUACGUGUACACUGUUGACGGUACUGUAAGAAUAAGGAUCGGCUAACUCCGUGCCAGCAGCCGCGGUAAUACGGAGGAUCCAAGCGUUAUCCGGAAUCAUUGGGUUUAAAGGGUCCGUAGGCGGGAUGAUAAGUCAGUGGUGAAAGUCUGCAGCUUAACUGUAGAAUUGCCAUUGAUACUGUUGUUCUUGAGUUAUUGUGAAGUGGUUAGAAUGAGUAGUGUAGCGGUGAAAUGCAUAGAUAUUACUCAGAAUACCGAUUGCGAAGGCAGAUCACUAACAAUGAACUGACGCUGAUGGACGAAAGCGUAGGUAGCGAACAGGAUUAGAUACCCUGGUAGUCUACGCCGUAAACGAUGGUUACUAGCUGUUCGGGUUAAUUGAGACCUGAGUGGCUAAGCGAAAGUGAUAAGUAACCCACCUGGGGAGUACGUUCGCAAGAAUGAAACUCAAAGGAAUUGACGG